UACGAAGGGGGCUAGCGUUGCUCGGAAUCACUGGGCGUAAAGGGUGCGUAGGCGGGUCUUUUAAGUCAGGGGUGAAAUCCUGGAGCUCAACUCCAGAACUGCCUUUGAUACUGGCGAUCUCGAGUCCGGGAGAGGUGAGUGGAACUGCGAGUGUAGAGGUGAAAUUCGUAGAUAUUCGCAAGAACACCAGUGGCGAAGGCGGCUCACUGGCCCGAUACUGACGCUGAGGUGCGAAAGCGUGGGGAGCAAACAGG
rnacentral:rRNA from 1 species